UACGUAGGGUGCGAGCGUUGUCCGGAAUUAUUGGGCGUAAAGAGCUUGUAGGCGGUCUGUCGCGUCUGCUGUGAAAAUCCGGGGCUCAACCCCGGACUUGCAGUGGGUACGGGCAGACUAGAGUGUGGUAGGGGAGACUGGAAUUCCUGGUGUAGCGGUGAAAUGCGCAGAUAUCAGGAGGAACACCGAUGGCGAAGGCAGGUCUCUGGGCCACUACUGACGGCUGAGGAGCGAAAGUGUGGGGAGCG
rnacentral:rRNA from 1 species